CACUACAGCUGGUUGUUGGAUAGUUUUGAAUUGACUUGGAGUCAACUCUUAUAAUGGAUCUUUAGCAGAGUUCUAGCUAGACAAUAAACAAAUACAUCAGUUGGACGAAAAGAGAUUCCUGGAGGAGACUUAUGGCUGAGACACUUCUGUCGGUUGGAGUUCAGAAGCUUUGGGACCUCCUUGUCCGAGAAUCUGAGAAAUUUCAGGGAGUUGAAAAACAAUUUAAUGAAUUAAAAAGGGAUAUAAACUUGGAAUCAACUCUUCAUAUGGUCAUUAAAUUACUUUGAUAUUUACUUGGAAUCAACUCUUCUAAUGGGUCACUAGGGGAGUUAAAACACUAAAACUAGUUCUUUUUACAGAUCUGUUGGGAGGAAAGCGACUUGCUUGAGGUGAUUAUUGUUGAUUUUAUUGUUUUUUUUUUUAAAUAGUUUUCAUGUGAUAUUUUGUAUUUUGCAUUUUUAUUAUCUCAAUUCUUCAUGUCUCUCGUCAAUGAUCUGUGGAUUAAGUAUUCCACAUAAUAACAAAUAUUGAUUCUGUAAUAUUUUAUAAAAUACGAUCCGAAUUAUGAACUGAUGGAUACUA